ensembl:lncRNA
GAAAUCAUCGUCCUCUUCUUGCAAUUCACAUCUGACUUUUGAAAUAUAUCUAUGACUAUAAAUUUGUCCAUAUUCAGCCAACAUAUCCUCAGAGCCAUUGCGCAAUGUAUGUAGGCUGUUCAUGUUGUACAGUGAGCUGAGCAUCUGUCCUGUUUUGUAAGUAUUGUGGCUAAUUUGGCGAAUUUCCACUUUUCCAUUCCACAAUUUCCCGUCCAUUUUCAAGCCUCUGCCAGCAGUUUUGUUUUUUGUUUUUUUUUAAACCAUGAAUCACUUCUUUUGGAAAAUGUGCUUUUCCUAUUGGUUAACAAGAAGGACCAAAUUUAUUUAGGAUUAGAUAAAAGAGCCAAAAUGGAAAAGUCGUCUUAUGACACUAAAAAUACAUGAUGCAGUGGUACAUUUAUAUUUUAAAUGCUGCUAUCAUUCUGGAUUUACAUUGUUUGCCCCAAGCCAAGUACAACCAUCACCUCUUAGGAGAAAGGUGACUAAAUUUAACAAUAGCAAACUAGCAGAAGUUGCACAUACUGAUUUUGCCAUUCUGCAGGGGGAUAAACAAACUCUACGGUGUUGGUGCAUGAUUACGUCGAUGUUAGGGGUGCUUAGAGAUGCAACAAAGGACAUUUCCAACGGCAUAAUUUUACAUCAGUUUUUGAGCUCUAUUCUUUGUGGUUGAUGUCACAUUUUUGCACAAUAUUACUUUAAAAAAAAUUAACUGUUUUAGUACUCAGUUUUAUUCAGAAAGUGAAUUCUAUCUAUAUAUAAAUAUAUAUGCAAAUAUAUUUAUAGUGUUUUCUGUCAGUUGUACUGAGCUUAGAUUUUUGUGACUCUUGCAAAAUGCUCAAACUUGCUUUCCUUCUAUUUUCUCCACUCGUCAUUCUCCUCUCUCCAUCUCCUGUCAGUUUCAUUAGUGCAGUCAGAAAGCUUCUAACACCGAUACACACCUGUAAACCCGGGCGUGUCAAAGCUUUUCACAAGUUCCUCCAGCAUUUCGUCAGACUGCUUCUUUUUGAAAACACGCACACACAAACAGUCCACCAGGUCCUGACAGCUUUGAGAUCUUAAUCUUUCGUUUUCUCCGGCACACUUAACAGUUUGGAAAAAAUAUGUUUUUGGCAGCCUCUCGAGGGAGGAAGGGUGAGGAAAAAUGAAGGAGGCAGAGAGGAAGAGCUGAGGAGUAAAUAACAAGUGAGGAAGAUCAGGUCAUCCAGCCAGAAAAAGAGGUUCUGCUGUGAAGGUACUGAACCAAAAUGGUUAGAACCUUCUGGGGAUUUUUCUUUUUUAAACACAUGAGGUACAUUUGCUGGAAAUAUUCAAACUGGAGAUGGUAAAACUCAUCUUUACCCAGCUGUUUACAACAAAGUGAAGCAGUCUUGUUACUUUAAUAUAGAAAUUCUCCCAUUUUCUGCUUACAUUUUCUUCUUCUUGUACAGCCGAAUACCUGCUUUCUUACUUGCAGUCUACACUAAACAAUAUCGGUGUUUCUUACUCAUUUUAGUUUGGUUUUAUUUAUUGUUUACAGGCACCUCCGUCUACAUAUUUAAGAGUGUGUGAUGUAUUGCAUGUAUGAGCUUAACGUGAUGUAACAGAGCAGGUUGAUUCUACUGUGCAUCCUAUAAAUGUGCUGUGUAAAACUGUGUUGUCAUCAUGUCCAAUAAAGAUGAAAAUGUGACUGUGG